rnacentral:rRNA from 1 species
CAGCAGCCACGGUAAUACGUAGGGUGCGAGCGUUAAUCGGAAUUACUGGGCGUAAAGCGUGCGCAGGCGGUUUGUUAAGACAGAUGUGAAAUCCCCGGGCUUAACCUGGGAACUGCAUUUGUGACUGGCCGGCUAGAGUAUGGCAGAGGGAGGUGGAAUUCCACGUGUAGCAGUGAAAUGCGUAGAUAUGUAGAGGAACACCGAUGGCGAAGGCAGCCUCCUGGGCCAAUACUGACGCUCAUGCACGAAAGCGUGGGGAGCAAACAGAAUUAGAUACCCCUGUAGUCCCUGUCUCUUAUAC